rnacentral:rRNA from 1 species
GACGAACGCUGGCGGCGUGCUUAACACAUGCAAGUCGAGCGGUAAGGCCCUUCGGGUACACGAGCGGCGAACGGGUGAGUAACACGUGGGUGACCUGCCUUUAGCUCUGGGAUAAGCCUGGGAAACUGGGUCUAAUACCGGAUAUGACUCCACGGCGCAUGUUGUGGGGUGGAAAGCCUUGUGCGGCUGGAGAUGGGCCCGCGGCCUAUCAGCUUGUUGGUGGGGUGAUGGCCUACCAAGGCGACGACGGGUAGCCGGCCUGAGAGGCGACCGGCCACACUGGGACUGAGACACGGCCCAGACUCCUACGGGAGGCAGCAGUGGGGAAUCUUGCGCAAUGGGCGAAAGCCUGACGCAGCGACGCCGCGUGAGGGAUGACGGCCU